GAUGAAGAACGUAGCGAAAUGCGAUACGUAAUGUGAAUUGCAGAAUUCAGUGAAUCAUCGAGUCUUUGAACGCACAUUGCGCCCCCUGGUAUUCCGGGGGGCAUGCCUGUCCGAGCGUCAUUGCUGCCCUCAAGCACGGCUUGUGUGUUGGGCCUCCGUCCUCCUCCCGGGGGACGGGCCCGAAAGGCAGCGGCGGCACCGCGUCCGGUCCUCGAGCGUAUGGGGCUUCGUCACCCGCUCUUGUAGGCCCGGUCGGCGCUUGCCGACACAUCAAUCUUUUUUCCAGGUUGACCUCGGAUCAGGUAGGGAUACCCGCUGAACUUAAGCAUAUCAAUAAGGGAGGA
rnacentral:misc_RNA from 1 species